CUGGUGGUGCUGUGGUUAAGUGCUUGGCUGCUAACCAAAAGGUCAGUGGUUUGAACCCACUCUACUGGA
rnacentral:tRNA from 1 species